rnacentral:rRNA from 1 species
GAGUUUGAUCCUGGGCUCAGAUUGAACGCUGGCGGCAGGCCUAACACAUGCAAGUCGAGCGGUAACACAGGGAGCUUGCUCCUGGGUGACCAGCUGCGGACGGGUGAGUAAUGUCUGGGAAACUGCCUGAUGGUGGGGGAUAACUACUGGAAACGGUAGCUAAUACCGCAUAAUGUCGCAAGACCAAAGAGGGGGACCUUCGGGCCUCUUGCCAUCAGAUGUGCCCAGAUGGGAUUAGCUAGUAGGUGGGGUAACGGCUCACCUAGGCGACGAUCCCUAGCUGGUCUGAGAGGAUGACCAGCCACACUGGAACUGAGACACGGUCCAUACUCCUACGGGAGGCAGCAGUGGGGAAUAUUGCACAAUGGGCGCAAGCCUGAUGCAGCCAUGCCGCGUGUAUGAAGAAGGCCUUCGGGUGUAAAGUACUUUCAGCGGGGAGGAAGGCGUUGAGGUUAAUAACCUCCCCCCAUUGACGUUACCCGCAGAAUAAGCACCGGCUAACUCCGUGCCAGCAGCCGCGGUAAUACGGAGGGUGCAAGCGUUAAUCGGAAUUACUGGGCGUAAAGCGCACGCAGGCGGUCUGUCAAGUCGGAUGUGAAAUCCCCGGGCUCAAUUUGGGAACUGCAUUCGAAACUGGCAGGCUAGAGUCUUGUAGAGGGGGGUAGAAUUCCAGGUGUAGCGGUGAAAUGCGUAGAGAUCUGGAGGAAUACCGGUGGCGAAGGCGGCCCCCUGGAAAAGACUGACGCUCAGGUGCGAAAGCGUGGGGAGCAAACAGGAUUAGAUACCCUGGUAGUCCACGCCGUAAACGAUGUCGACUUGGAGGUUGUGCCCUUGAGGCGUGGCUUCCGGAGCUAACGCGUUAAGUCGACCGCCUGGGGAGUACGGCCGCAAGGUUAAAACUCAAAUGAAUUGACGGGGGCCCGCACAAGCGGUGGAGCAUGUGGUUUAAUUCGAUGCAACGCGAAGAACCUUACCUACUCUUGACAUCCAGAGAACUUUCCAGAUAUGGAUUGGUGCCUUCGGGAACCCCCAGGCAGGUGCUGCAUGGCUGUCGUCAGCUCGUGUUGUGAAAUGUUGGGUUAAGUCCCGCAACGAGCGCAACCCUUAUCCUUUGUUGCCAGCGGUCCGGCCGGGAACUCAAAGGAGACUGCCAGUGAUAAACUGGAGGAAGGUGGGGAUGACGUCAAGUCAUCAUGGCCCUUACGAGUAGGGCUACACACGUGCUACAAUGGCGCAUACAAAGAGAAGCGACCUCGCGAGAGCAAGCGGACCUCAUAAAGUGCGUCGUAGUCCGGAUUGGAGUCUGCAACUCGACUCCAUGAAGUCGGAAUCGCUAGUAAUCGUAGAUCAGAAUGCUACGGUGAAUACGUUCCCGGGCCUUGUACACUCCGCCCUUCACACCAUGGGAGUGGGUUGCAAAAGAAGUAGGUAGCUUAACCUUCGGGAGGGCGCUUACCACUUUGUGAUUCAUGAAGGGGGUGAAGUCGUAACAAGGUAACCAAUCGGAUCCCGGUCAAG